rnacentral:piRNA from 1 species
UGACAUGAAUCACAGUUGUUUCCCUGCCU